rnacentral:misc_RNA from 1 species
UCCGAGUUGACCCCGGCAGUCUCUCACGAGUCCCCGCCAUUACGCGCUGGCAACAUAAGAUAAGGGUUGCGCUCGUUGCGGGACUUAACCCAACAUCUCACGACACGAGCUGACGACAGCCAUGCACCACCUGUACACCGACCACAAGGGGGACCGUGUCUCCACGGUUUUCCGGUGUAUGUCAAGCCUUGGUAAGGUUCUUCGCGUUGCGUCGAAUUAAAGAACAUGCUCCGCUGCUUGUGCGGGCCCCCGUCAAUUCUUUUGAGUUUUAGCCUUGCGGCCGUACUCCCCAGGCGGGACACUUAACGCGUUAGCUGCGGCACGGAGGGAUUCGACUCCCCCCACACCUAGUGUUCAUCGUUUACGGCUAGGACUAC